GCAUAUCAAUAAGCNNNNNNNNNNNNNNNNNNNNNNNNNNNNNUAGUAWCUGCGAGUGAAGCGGGAAAAGCUCAAAUUUAAAAUCUGGUGGCCUUCAGGUCGUCCGAGUUGUAAUUUAGAGAAGCGUCUUCCGCGCCGGACCGUGCACAAGUCUCCUGGAACGGAGCGUCGUAGAGGGUGAGAAUCCCGUCUUUGGCACGGAACCACCGGGGCUGCCGUGAUGCGCUCUCGAAGAGUCGAGUUGUUUGGGAAUGCAGCUCAAAAUGGGUGGUGAACUCCAUCUAAAGCUAAACAUUGGCGAGAGACCGAUAGCGAACAAGUACCGUGAGGGAAAGAUGAAAAGCACUUUGGAAAGAGAGUGAAACAGUACGUGAAAUUGUUGAAAGGGAAACGCUUGGGGUCAGUCGCGUCGAUCGAGACUCAGCCUCGCCUCGGCUUGGUGUAUUUCUUGGCCGACGGGCCAGCGUUGAUUUUGUCCCUCGGAUAAUGGCAAGGGAAAGGUGGCACCCUUCACGGGUGUGUUAUAGUCCCCUGUCGCAUGCGAGGGCUGGGAUCAAGGAACUCAGCACGCGCCUCUAACGGCGUCGGGGCUUCGGCCCACGUUUACGUGCUUAGGACGCUGGCGUAAUGGCUYYAAACGACCCGUCUUGAAACAC
rnacentral:rRNA from 1 species